GCCUGGCUGGCUCAUUUGGUAGAGCAUGUGACUCUUGAUCUUGGGGUUGUGAGUUUGAGCCCCAUGUUGGGUA
rnacentral:tRNA from 1 species